rnacentral:rRNA from 1 species
AUACGGAGGGGGCAAGCGUUGUUCGGAAUUACUGGGCGUAAAGCGCGCGUAGGCGGCGGAUCAAGUUAGGCGUGAAAGGCCUGGGCUCAACCUGGGAACUGCGCUUAAUACUGGUUUGCUAGAGGCCGGAAGAGGGUGGCGGAAUUCCCAGUGUAGAGGUGAAAUUCGUAGAUAUUGGGAAGAACACCGGUUGCGAAGGCGGCUACCUGGAACGGUACUGACGCUGAGGUGCGAAAGCGUGGGGAGCAAACAGGAUUAGAUACCCCGGUAGUCC